GUCACUUCCAUCCCAGGAACCUGCGCUGCGUAGGGAAGCAAAGUGCAGGAGGGACUUGAUCCUCAGAGGGUACCUGCUUGCUUCCGCAUGAGGAUGUUGUGGAACACCCACGUUCGACCGAAUGACAUAAACACAGGCCUGGAAGGCAUCUCCGAGGAGCGGGUAGUGCCUUCUGCCCUGAGACAGGACUACCCGUACUGGAAGCUCAGGCUGAACCCUGGUGCAGGUUGCCACCAGAAAUCUCCCCCCUGUCUGCAGGGGAGCUGGAUAUAGUAUACGUCAAAGAAAGAGAGACCAGGAGUUUCCAUGCCGGCUGUCCAGCAGGUCCUAGGAGGGACAGGAGGAACACCCCUCUCUCCCUGCUGCCUGAUGGGUUGGGCUGUAUUUUAGCCAACAACAGAAGUACGUGGGAGAACGCGGGAGAAUUUCAAUAAGCUAGCACCAGUGGUAUUUAGGCACCGAAUCCCUCUCUGUAUUUUUGACAGUCUCCCCUUAACUGAGCACAUCACACUUCAAGCAUUUAAAAAUAAAACAUUGCUACCCACA